AGUGAACGCUGGCGGUAGGCCUAACACAUGCAAGUCGAACGGCAGCACAGUAAGAGCUUGCUCUUACGGGUGGCGAGUGGCGGACGGGUGAGGAAUACAUCGGAAUCUACUUUUUCGUGGGGGAUAACGUAGGGAAACUUACGCUAAUACCGCAUACGACCUACGGGUGAAAGCAGGGGAUCUUCGGACCUUGCGCGAUUGAAUGAGCCGAUGUCGGAUUAGCUAGUUGGCGGGGUAAAGGCCCACCAAGGCGACGAUCCGUAGCUGGUCUGAGAGGAUGAUCAGCCACACUGGAACUGAGACACGGUCCAGACUCCUACGGGAGGCAGCAGUGGGGAAUAUUGGACAAUGGGCGCAAGCCUGAUCCAGCCAUACCGCGUGGGUGAAGAAGGCCUUCGGGUUGUAAAGCCCUUUUGUUGGGAAAGAAAAGCAGCAGGUUAAUACCCCGCUGUUCUGACGGUGCCCAAAGAAUAAGCACCGGCCAACUUCGUG
rnacentral:rRNA from 1 species